CCCCGCCCUCGCCGGGGACACGUGGGCGGGACCCGGCACGUUCGCAGGUGCCCGGGCGGCGGCAGAAACAUCCACUGUGGCUAGUAUUGGAGGCCCAGUGUGACCUACCUGACCCACCUGACCCGCUCAAGUCCCCCUAGUGCCCCUCCAGCAAUGCCCUUCUCAGCUCAGGCCUUGGCAUGAAGAGAUGUGCACACGUGCAAGAUGCUGAUUGCCCUGCAGCAUGCUGCAUACUUAAAGCACCCGAUUAUGGAGAAGAACGCCUCAGUUCCUGGGGAAAGUGAUGGCUGAUCUCAGGGUGUUUAUCAUGUGGGAGGAAGAAUCACGGUGUUUCCGGCCUUCUAGUUUUUCACAAGUUAGUCAAGCAGACUUGAGGAUGUGCUCCAGCAAAACAAGGGAGUGAGCGAAUGAAGAAACAAUCAAGUGCCACCCAGGACAGGGAGCUCUCUCACCCCUUCCACCACUGAGGACACAGCAAGAGGCACCAUCUAAGAACAAGAAAGUGGCCUUCACCAGAUACGGGAUUUGCUGGCACCUUAAUCUUGGACUUUCAGCCUCCAG